UAGUGGCCACACAGUAAUCGUA
rnacentral:piRNA from 1 species